rnacentral:lncRNA from 1 species
UGAAAAAUAACAGUAACUCACAUUCUUCACACUAUUAAUUUUAAAAGACCCAAUUCACCUGCCCUCUUGGGCUGCACCUCUGGGCAACACACUUAUACGCUUCACUCAACCCAAAUUGUUCAUUUAUAAAUAAAAUUUAAAAUUCUCAAAUUUAGAUAACCCAAUUAACCUCCCCUUUUGGGUUGUUACCUUGGGCAACACCUUUUAUAGGAUCUCUUCAAACCUUGCAACCGAAAAUGCC